rnacentral:rRNA from 1 species
GAUGAACGCUGGCGGCGUGCCUAAUACAUGCAAGUCGAGCGAACGGACGAGAAGCUUGCUUCUCUGAUGUUAGCGGCGGACGGGUGAGUAACACGUGGAUAACCUACCUAUAAGACUGGGAUAACUUCGGGAAACCGGAGCUAAUACCGGAUAAUAUUUUGAACCGCAUGGUUCAAAAGUGAAAGACGGUCUUGCUGUCACUUAUAGAUGGAUCCGCGCUGCAUUAGCUAGUUGGUAAGGUAACGGCUUACCAAGGCAACGAUGCAUAGCCGACCUGAGAGGGUGAUCGGCCACACUGGAACUGAGACACGGUCCAGACUCCUACGGGAGGCAGCAGUAGGGAAUCGUCCGCAAUGGGCGAAAGCCUGACGGAGCAACGCCGCGUGAGUGAUGAAGGUCUUCGGAUCGUAAAACUCUGUUAUUAGGGAAGAACAUAUGUGUAAGUAACUGUGCACAUCUUGACGGUACCUAAUCAGAAAGCAACGGCUAACUACGUG